AAUGCCCAGCUUGAGAAUCUGGCGCCUGCGGCGUCCGAAUUGUAGUCUGGAGAAGCGUCCUCAGCGGCGGACCAGGCCCAAGUCCCCUGGAAAGGGGCGCCGGAGAGGGUGAGAGCCCCGUCGUGGCUGGACCCUGCCGCACCACGAGGCGCUGUCUGCGAGUCGGGUUGUUUGGGAAUGCAGCUCAAAAUGGGUGGUAAAUUCCGUCCAAGGCUAAAUAUGGGCGAGAGACCGAUAGCAAA
rnacentral:rRNA from 1 species